rnacentral:rRNA from 1 species
UUUAAUUUUUUAGUUAAAAAGCUGAAAUUUUUUUAUAGGACGAGAAGACCCUAUAGAUUUUUAUAAUUAAUUAUAUUAUUUAUAAUUGGUGGUUUAAAUUUUUUUAAUAUUAUAAUUAUUUGAUUGGGGUGAUCUUGGAAUUUAAUUAACUUCUAAUAUUAUAGCUCAUUAAUAUAUGUUUUUAUGAUCCAUUUUUAUUGAUUAUAAGAUUAAAUUACCUU